UUUCACCGGUUUUGAUUCUUCACUUACAUGUGUUUCUUUUAAAUCGCAUAAACGGUUUUGAUUUCUUUCAUUGGAUCAAGUGUCUGCUGUUUGACAUUGUUAUGGUCCAGAUCUUUUCCUAAAGGUAUGUAAAUUAACUCUAUUAUCUUUUUAUUUCAUGUUUGCAAACGUAAGUUUGAUGGUUUAGUUUGAAAUGGUUUUUCUUGUCCAGCUGGUAAUUAUGUUGAAAUCGAGGGUUUGUAUUCACAAAGAUGUCGAAUUGAAAAUUGGUUUCGAUGCGUACAUUGUCUUGUUUUCUAUGUGUUAAAUUUAGUAAAGAUCCAUUAGAAGCGGUUUGAGGGUUUACAUCUUUUGUUUUCUUGCUAGUCUUAUGGUUUUAAAAUUUUGUAAACAUUUUUUUUUUCAAAAUCUUAAUUGGCUUUGUGUUUUCAAGACUUCAGUACUGUAAAAGAAUGUAGGUGUAAACUCAAUUGCUAGUGUAGAUCUUAAUUGGCUUUGUGUUUUCAAGACUUCAGACGUAAGUUUCUUUUGUUUCAUGUUGAUUUUUAUUUAAAAAAUCGAAGGAUUCUACUUUUUUUUGGUUGGUUAAAAAGAAUGAUAUUUUUCAUAAAUAACUUCAUAUUUCUACCUAUAGUUUCUGUUUUAUAUAUAGAUCUGUAAAGGUCAACGCCUCUCUUGAAAACCCUAAACAGAAACCAUGUAAUUAAGUUGACAACAUUUUCAAAUUCCUGUUCAUUAUCUAAGAAGCUAGAUUCCUUCCAAGCGUGGUUCUUUUAACCACUAAGUGAUAUGAUGGAUAGUUUUUUUAAAAUGAUGCAAAUUUCAAAUUAAUAAUGUGAAGAGGGCAAAUGCAUUAAAAGUUGGGUUUCGGCUAACCUUGGAUUGCAUUUUUUCUUGAUUUUCAUAAUUCUGAUUACCACCCAAAAUGCAUACAUUAGUUUAAAAUUUUUAAAAAUUAUGGUUGUAAACCCUGGAUUAUGAGAGUUUGUGUAGUGAGGAUUGUUGUCUAAAUU
rnacentral:lncRNA from 1 species